GACGAACGCUGGCGGCGUGCUUAACACAUGCAAGUCGAACGGAAAGGCCCUGCUUUUGUGGGGUGCUCGAGUGGCGAACGGGUGAGUAACACGUGAGUAACCUGCCCUUGACUUUGGGAUAACUUCAGGAAACUGGGGCUAAUACCGGAUAGGAGCUCCUGCUGCAUGGUGGGGGUUGGAAAGUUUCGGCGGUUGGGGAUGGACUCGCGGCUUAUCAGCGUGUUGGUGGGGUAGUGGCUUACCAAGGCUUUGACGGGUAGCCGGCCUGAGAGGGUGACCGGCCACAUUGGGACUGAGAUACGACCCAGACUCCUACGGGAGGCAGCAGUGGGGAAUAUUGCACAAUGGGCGGAAGCCUGAUGCAGCAACGCCGCGUGCGGGAUGACGGCCUUCGGGUUGUAAACCGCUUUCGCCUGUGACGAAGCGUGAGUGACGGUAAUGGGUAAAGAAGCACCGGCUAACUACGUG
rnacentral:rRNA from 1 species